rnacentral:rRNA from 1 species
AGAGUUUGAUCCUGGCUCAGGACGAACGCUGGCGGCGUGCUUAACACAUGCAAGUCGAGCGAUGAUACUUCUUCGGAAGUUGAUUAGCGGCGGACGGGUGAGUAACACGUGGGCAACCUGCCCUAUAGAGGGGAAUAGCCUUCCGAAAGGAAGAUUAAUACCCCAUAAGAUUGUAGUUUCACAUGGAACAGCAAUUAAAGGAGUAAUCCGCUAUAGGAUGGGCCCGCGUCGCAUUAGCUAGUUGGUGAGGUAACGGCUCACCAAGGCGACGAUGCGUAGCCGACCUGAGAGGGUGAUCGGCCACAUUGGGACUGAGACACGGCCCAGACUCCUACGGGAGGCAGCAGUGGGGAAUAUUGCACAAUGGGGGAAACCCUGAUGCAGCAACGCCGCGUGAGUGAUGAAGGCCUUCGGGUUGUAAAGCUCUGUCUUUGGGGACGAUAAUGACGGUACCCAAGGAGGAAGCCACGGCUAACUACGUGCCAGCAGCCGCGGUAAUACGUAGGUGGCAAGCGUUGUCCGGAUUUACUGGGCGUAAAGGGAGCGUAGGCGGACUUUUAAGUGGGAUGUGAAAUACUCGGGCUUAACCUGAGUGCUGCAUUCCAAACUGGAAGUCUAGAGUGCAGGAGGGGAAAGUGGAAUUCCUAGUGUAGCGGUGAAAUGCGUAGAUAUUAGGAAGAACACCGGUGGCGAAGGCGACUUUCUGGACUGUAACUGACGCUGAGGCUCGAAAGCGUGGGGAGCGAACAGGAUUAGAUACCCUGGUAGUCC